rnacentral:rRNA from 1 species
AGCAGUAGGGAAUCUUCCGCAAUGGACGAAAGUCUGACGGAGCAACGCCGCGUGAGUGAUGAAGGUUUUCGGAUCGUAAAGCUCUGUUGUUAGGGAAGAACAAGUGCAAGAGUAACUGCUUGCACCUUGACGGUACCUAACCAGAAAGCCMCGGCUAACUACGUGCCAGCAGCCGCGGUAAUACGUAGGUGGCAAGCGUUGUCCGGAAUUAUUGGGCGUAAAGGGCUCGCAGGCGGUUUCUUAAGUCUGAUGUGAAAGCCCCCGGCUCAACCGGGGAGGGUCAUUGGAAACUGGGAAACUUGAGUGCAGAAGAGGAGAGUGGAAUUCCACGUGUAGCGGUGAAAUGCGUAGAGAUGUGGAGGAACACCAGUGGCGAAGGCGACUCUCUGUCUGUAACUGACGCUGAGGAGCGAAAGCGUGGGGAGCGAACAGGAUUAGAUACCCGG